ACAUGAGGCAUUCACAGAUGAUCACAGCAGACAAUCCACACCUCAUCUGCAGAGGACUCCCCGCUCCCACCCGAACCUUGCCAGUCUGACCUGGGGAAAAUUCCUUCACGACUCCAAAUUCAGAGAUCAGUUAGUCUCUCAACAUGUGAGCAAGACUACAGACAAACAUCCAAGACAGAAGAUUUUCUAUACCACCUGAGAGCACUGGUCCAUCUCUACUAGUAACCUGUAUCUAGCUGUGGCGGAUCUGAUUGCUGAUGCUUCAGAAGGGAGAUGAAAACAAAACAAACAACCCAGAUUACAAUUGUGCCUCAGAGGAGGGGAAAAAAAACCCUUCCUAGCAGGUGACUAGCUGAAACCCUGUAGCAUGAGAGUAGAUUACAGUUGAGGACAAUUUAGGCCUUAUCUGAAGGGGAAAGGUUUUCCAGCAUAACCUAAGACAUGAAUUUAAAACCAAUAUUGUUUUAUCGCUAUAACCUCCCAUAUGGAUGCUCUCAUUUUGGUAUAAGAGAAUCUUUUUUAGAUUUGGCUUACAUAACUUGGGGAAGGAUUUAAGCUAAAGU